rnacentral:rRNA from 1 species
UCGCGUCGGUUGUGAAAGCCCGGGGCUUAACCCCGGGUCUGCAGUCGAUACGGGCAGGCUAGAGUUCGGUAGGGGAGAUCGGAAUUCCUGGUGUAGCGGUGAAAUGCGCAGAUAUCAGGAGGAACACCGGUGGCGAAGGCGGAUCUCUGGGCCGAUACUGACGCUGAGGAGCGAAAGCGUGGGGAGCGAACAGGAUUAGAUACCCUGGUAGUCCACGCCGUAAACGGUGGGCACUAGGUGUGGGCGACAUUCCACGUCGUCCGUGCCGCAGCUAACGCAUUAAGUGCCCCGCCUGGGGAGUACGGCCGCAAGGCUAAAACUCAAAGGAAUUGACGGGGGCCCGCACAAGCGGCGGAGCAUGUGGCUUAAUUCGACGCAACGCGAAGAACCUUACCAAGGCUUGACAUACACCGGAAACGUCUGGAGACAGGCGCCCCCUUGUGGUCGUGUACUAGGUGGUGCAUGGCUGUCGUCAGC